UGGACCAGUGAUGAAAAUUUGACAUGAACUAAGGAUUAUGAUUAGUCCAGUUCUGUGCACUUUGAGCACGCUU
rnacentral:snoRNA from 1 species